rnacentral:lncRNA from 1 species
UAUGAAUUCACAAUACCUCAUUACUUGUAAACAGUUUCCCUUGAUCUACUGCUACUAUUACAUAUCCAAAUUAUAUAUCUCCUAAGCAGUGAUACCUGAAACAAGCAAAUUUUAUAAAAGAAAAUUAGUAAUAUGCAAUAAAUUUUAUGUGAACGUCUUAUCAUAUUUCAGUAUCUUGUCAUACUACGAUAUGUUUUCGGGAUUGAACGAAUUUGAAGAUGAAUCUAAAAAGGAUUAAGGAUUGAACGAACCUGAAGCUCGAAAGAAGUUAUUCCAUGAUAUAAUUACAAUUGUGCAAUGGACUAAUUGCCAACAAUUAGUCCUCGACAAACACCUAAAUUACAGAGUCCAAUUUUCUUAUUCACCCAUUUGUUAAAACAAGACAAUAUCACACCUUAUGUUCACAUUUGAAAUAACAAAAAACAACACAAGACAAUAACAUAAACUCAUAAUGCAAUUAUACAAUCAGAUGCAAAACUUGUCAAUCAAAAGAAACUUAAUGACUCUGUUCAUUCUAGAAACACAAUUAAUUCAAUUAGAUAGACCAUGUAAAGUAUUCUCCACUCAAAAUAAUGAUUUCUAAAACAAAUUAUGUUCUAGAUUGCUGAAAAGUAUAUGAUCGAUGUAUGGAAGGAUAUAUGUGCAUUCCUUUGAUGUAAGUUGCAUUAAGAACUUAACACAUAAGAUGCACCAGAAGACAACCUAACCUAUGAACAUAAGUUCAAUUACAUAUGCAAUAAGCAUAUUUGACUUCUCCCCUGCAAUAAGCAUAUUUGACUUCUCCCCUGCAAUAAGCAUAGCUUUUAUGAGAAUCUAUAACUAGGACUAUCUUCAAUGAUAUUUUCCACUCAAAUAUCAACUAUUACUAGUAUAUUUACUAGACACAAAUCCUUAAAUAAAUAAGACAUUAGACAUUAUUCCAUUCAAAUUUAGUCAUACUGAAAUUAAAUCUAUGAUCCUAAAAAUAAUUUCUAAGCAUAUGUUCAACAUCAUGAGUCAUUCAAGACAUAACAACAUAACAAAUAUGGCAAGCAACUAACCUGCAACAAUAAAUCACUUGUUCAUCUCUGCAGCUACUACCCUAGACUUCACAGCUCAGAAUUUGCUAUCACUACCAACAGUCCAAUAAAAAAAAAGAGAAAAAAAAGUAAGAAAAUAACAAAAUCAAUUUAAAAUACAAAAUCCCUAAAUCAUCAUAAUCAUAAUCAAAGACAAAGAGAAACAAAAACCCUAAAUCUGAGAGAAACAAAAAAGAUAAGAACACAUAAAAGAUAAGAACAAAAACCCUAAUUAGGAACCACGCUAAACCCUCAAUUUGUGCUCGAGCUACAACUCUCAACGAACCAUGCUGUCAUCAAC